GUGGCCUUAGCUCAACCGGCAGAGCAGCGGAUUGUGGUUCCGCAGGUUAUGGGUUCGACCCCCAUAGGCCACCCCA
rnacentral:tRNA from 1 species